rnacentral:rRNA from 1 species
UACGUAGGGUCCGAGCGUUGUCCGGAGUUACUGGGCGUAAAGCGCGCGCAGGCGGCGGUGUUGGCCCGGCGUGGAAGCCCCCGGCUCAACCGGGGGAGGGUCGUCGGGGACCGCACCGCUUGAGGGCGGUAGGGGCUGGUGGAAUGCCUGGUGUAGUGGUGAAAUGCGUAGAGAUCAGGCGGAACACCUGUGGCGAAGGCGGCCAGCUGGGCCGUCCCUGACGCUGAGGCGCGAAGGCGUGGGGAGCGAACGGG